rnacentral:lncRNA from 1 species
AUAUCUACCAUUUUAUGUUUAAUCCAUGUACAAUUACAAAAUUUUUGAUCAACCAGGAUUAGACGUAAAAUACCGGUCGAACAAAGUCCAGGUGUCCAUCAUUCAUAUUUUUUGCGAUUUGAAUUUAUUGUACAUAUUCUAAAACCGGAUGGGCCAAACCGGUCCGACACCAAACCGCCCGGUUGACAGCCUUCCAUCUACCGUCAAACCCCACCACUCCGCCCAUUAAUUACACCCAUUGAAUAAAAUACCAAGCGACAGGCCCAAGAGCGGCAGAGAGUGAGAGAGAGCGCAUUGAAAAAGCAAAAGAAAGCACGAGACCUGUGAAGCAAAGCAAGACAUCAUAAAACCGCUGCCUGCCCUGGUCAGCACCCACCCUACAU